rnacentral:rRNA from 1 species
GACGAACGCUGGCGGCGUGCUUAACACAUGCAAGUCGAACGGAAAGGCCCUGCUUUUGUGGGGUGCUCGAGUGGCGAACGGGUGAGUAACACGUGAGUAACCUGCCCUUGACUUUGGGAUAACUUCAGGAAACUGGGGCUAAUACCGGAUAGGAGCUCCUGCUGCAUGGUGGGGGUUGGAAAGUUUCGGCGGUUGGGGAUGGACUCGCGGCUUAUCAGCUUGUUGGUGGGGUAGUGGCUUACCAAGGCUUUGACGGGUAGCCGGCCUGAGAGGGUGACCGGCCACAUUGGGACUGAGAUACGGCGCAGACUCCUACGGGAGGCAGCAGUGGGGAAUAUUGCAAAGUGGGCGGAAGCCUUAUGCAGCAACGCCGCGUGCGGGAUGACGGCCUUCGGGUUGUAAACCGCGUUCGCCUGUGACGAAGCGUGAGUGACGGUAAUGGGUAAAGAAGCACCGGCUAACUACGUG